AACGAACGCUGGCGGCAGGCCUAAUACAUGCAAGUCGAACGCACCGCAAGGUGAGUGGCAGACGGGUGAGUAACGCGUGGGAACCUUCCUAGUAGUACGGAAUAACUCCGGGAAACCGGUGCUAAUACCGUAUAAGCCCUCCGGGGGAAAGAUUUAUCGCUACUAGAUGGGCCCGCGUCGGAUUAGCUUGUUGGUGAGGUAAUGGCUCACCAAGGCUUCGAUCCGUAGCUGGUCUGAGAGGAUGAUCAGCCACACUGGGACUGAGACACGGCCCAGACUCCUACGGGAGGCAGCAGUAGGGAAUAUUGGACAAUGGGCGAAAGCCUGAUCCAGCCAUGCCGCGUGAGUGAAGAAGGCCUUAGGGUUGUAAAGCUCUUUUGGCGGGAAGAUAAUGACGUACCGCAGAAUAAGCUCCGGCUAACUUCGUGCC
rnacentral:rRNA from 1 species